GGGGCACUUAAGACCACAUUCUGUGAAGCUCCUCUUCCUUGAUGUGAGACAGCUGAAUAGUGUCACUGCUCCAUUGUACAGAUAUAUAUAUACAAAAGAAAAAAUCCAGUCAAGGCAAAAUGGUUAAAAAUCUCCACCUUCAAUUGGAGUAAGAAUGGGUGUUGGAAGCUUGUACAGCACCUAUGGUACCUUGGAAGAUAAACUUGAAUCUUCUGAGUGAGACAUGUGUCUGAAGUGUGUGAUGUCUUCAACACAGGCAAGUAGAAGGGAAGGAAGAGAAAGAAUCAGCAGGAGGAGAAAGAGAGAAGAACAUGUAACCGGGGGUGAAUAUGAGCAAAAUACAAAGCUCUGAAGAUGUUAUAAUGAAGCCCAUUAUUGUAUAUAAGAA